AUUGUGGACUGGGCACACAACAGGGAAGAAACGUCUAAUCACUUCCUUCUGGGGCUCAACUCUUGCAGCUGAAUCAUUCCGGGAUCAAACCAGGCAGGGCGAUCUUCCUUUAUCCCCUGACCAGCUUCAUUACAGGACAAACCAGAGGGGACUGAACAUCUCAGAAUCGGAGCCAGAGGUAUGAGGAACAAGUAGCUGGACGGAGCAGAGGAGCGGAGGAGAGGGACAGACCCCUCCUUGGAGUGGGCACACGGCUGCCUGGCUGAAAGACACCAGUGCGGUGAGGUGUGGCAUGUGCCUGAGUUCUGGCCAAGGAAAUGCUGAACAGCACUUCUGAACUGUUCUCCCCGACUCCCUCCUUCAACUCCACCAGCCAUCAUGGACCACAAGGUGACCUGAGAGAUGGGCGUCCUGAGUGGCGGAGCUUCUGAGUCCUGGCGGCAACAUGCAGCCACCCUGCGCUGCACAGCUCCACUCUCCUUUCACAUGGGAGGAACCGUGGCACUCCGAACACCACCCUCACCUGGUCAGAGAGAUAAAAGAAAUGGCUGAUUCCCGGAAUGAGGUAGGAAAAGUACAAGAUGAACCUGGAAAUCUCCUUGUGCCAGAAAGGAAAGAAAUCCUCAACAAAUGAUGGAGACAUAUCAAAAAGUCCCGGACUAAUGAGCAAAGGAAGUAAUGCAACAAGAAUGGAACAAAAAAACUGAAACAUACUCACAAGAUCUCCGUAACGGGCAGAUGAAAUUACACGUGAAGGAAAAUUCCCUGUGCUGCUGAAACAUAAUCCCCCUGUCUUCAUAAAUAAAAAAAAUAAAAAAUAAACAGUUUAUGGAAA